AACAAACUUGACAAUCACCAUUAGAAAGAAGGUGACAUGUUUAUGGACCCAGAACUAGCUAAGACAGUUCUCUGUGUACAUGCGGAUCACUUCAAGAAUCUUCUUGAUGAAAGAAGCUUGUGUGGUUUGUUAAAAGACUUCAAUCCGCUCACAGCCAUGCAGAUUAAGAAGAAUUUAGAUCGACAUUAUUUUGAUAACAAUGAAAACUCAAAUGCUUGGAACGAAAUGAGUGGAGUUGAACGACGCCCUGUUUAUCGAAACUACAUCAAUCAACUUUUCAACUAUGCAGGGUUUCAAAAUGUACAAGGCAUCAUAUCAAAGAUUGCAUAUGCCCGAAAGAAGGACAAAUCCAAUUUGGCUCUCUGGAUGUAUGGAAAGCUCUCAACCUUCCAGAAAAGGACUGUUCAAAGGAACACUUAAAUCCCUCCGACAGACAAAGAUAACCUCUCUAGGCCCUCUGGUGGUGACGUAUAAGUGCUUUCUCAGUACUUUCUCUCGCUUUUGGACAAAUCCAGUGAGUUAACUUUUUAUCAGUGGUCGACCGGGGGCAGGAUUCUGACCGGGGCCGGGGAGCCCCAAUAUGGCCGGGGCUGACCACUGAGAAUUGGCCGGGGCCGGGGUUUACCCCCGGCGAAUUGCCAAUUUUUGGCCGGGGCCGGGAAGGGCUGGGGGUUGUGAUUUUGGCCGGGGCACCGGGCGACCACUGCUUUUUAUGUCACGAUUUUAAAAACUUUAUUCAUAAGUUUAUGAAACAUCAAAACUUUGCAUGCUCUGCAUUAUGUAAAGUCAAUCAUGCACUAGAGCACAGUUCACUGUAUAUAACCUAAUCCAGCCUAGGGGAGGGGGUUUGAAAUUGCUUGUGCUAGAGUGAUUUAUACUCAAUAGCUAUGUGAAAAGUGGCUCAAGGAGGGGAGACCGACGUAAACAAUUUUGAAUUGGUAGAAGUUAAGUUUAGGCUUUAAUGAAAAACUAUUUAAAGAAUAUCAUUCUUUUACCACAGACAUAAGACUUUGCCGUAGGGUAUACAAAAAUGUGACCAUUCAUCAAUUUUUAGAGUGCUGUAUCUGUACCCGAAUUGAAAUAAAGGAUUUUAAUGAAACAGUUUUCUUCCGCUCUGAAAGUGAACGAAUGACAAAACAGUCUAGAAAAUUCCUCGCCCUGCUGCAGAAGAUCAAUCCUGGGUUGUGCUCACCAAAUCAAACCUCUUUUUUGUGUAUUCAGUGUCUUAACUAUGUAAAAGACAACUAUAACAGGGUGUACAGUGCUGUUUCUGAAAUUGACGAAUCCUCUUGUGAUGAAGAUUGAAGAAGCUAUUGCCAUCCAAGUGGAAAAAGUCCCGCCUUUGUCACCCUCCUCGAAUAGAACUAAGAAAAUGUAGAGACUUUCUUCAUUUAGUUCCCAAUCAAGUGGACCAGAUGUUGAUUUGUUUGAAAUGGACUGAGACUUGUGUUUCAUAUGCCAGGUUGAACAGACGUUAGAAACGAAAAAGGAUAGUCUGAUUCAAGGAAAAGAUAAAAGUUUCUUCGUCGAUUUCGCAACAUACUAUCUGUGGACAUCUACAGAAAUCUUCAGGAUCUGUGCAACAUCGAUGUUAAUCCUGAUUCGCACAUGACCAAGUGCCCUGUUCUUAACUCUGAGAGUCUCGGAAAAUAUCUCUAUAGCAAGCUAGGUAGAUAUCACAAAACAUGUCGUUUGAGGUACAGCAACUCGAGGGUGAAACAAUUGAAGGGUAAAUUAUCUGAAGCUGUAAGUUUAAAACCUGUCUCUAAGGCAGGUUUUAAAAUGGAAAGACACGUGUCCACGCACGACAACACCAAUGCUGCAUUAAUGAGUGCAGGUAUUGACGCUGUACGUACCUUUUAACUGGAGCAGGAGAAUGUUUUACCAGAACUGUACCUCGUGUCUGACCCGAAGCUUAAGUACAAUGACUAUGUGACGUCUAGUUUAUCUGAGAACGCUGCAAACUCCAGCAAUGUUUAAUCUGAUCACAUCAGUUUUCAGAAAGACAAUGUCGGUAAGACGAGUUUGUUUCGACAGCAGGAUCUUAUCUAAUCUUGCCGCAACAAUAGAUGCGGAUAGAGAUGAUAACACUUUAACAAAGACAGCACUCAUAAAGGAGAUUAGAAAAGAAAUCUUUCAAUGUAGAAACGAAUUCUAUCAGCUAUGUUCGAUUUACUGAUCGGUGGCAUCUGUAGAAAUAUAGUGUUUAUGUGGAUUAAUCUGUUAAAGCAGGGCUAUUGUAUCAUUUUAACAUUAACUUUGCAUAGU